GAUGAAGAACGUAGCGAAAUGCGAUAAGUAAUGUGAAUUGCAGAAUCCAGUGAAUCAUCGAAUCUUUGAACGCACAUUGCGCCCGCCAGCAUUCUGGCGGGCAUGCCUGUUCGAGCGUCAUUUCAACCCUCGACCUCCCUUUGGGGAAGUCGGCGUUGGGGACCGGCAGCACACCGCCGGCCCUGAAAUGGAGUGGCGGCCCGUCCGCGGCGACCUCUGCGUAGUAAUCCAACUCGCACCGGAACCCCGACGCGGCCACGCCGUUAAACCCCCCACUUCUGAAAGUUUGACCUCGGAUCAGGUAGGAAUACCCGCUGAACUUAAGCAUAUCAAUAAGCGGAGGA
rnacentral:misc_RNA from 1 species